AAUAGAUACCCUGGUAGUCCACGCCGUAAACGGAUGGAGUGCUAAGUGUUAGGGGGUUUCCGCCCCUUAGUACUGCAGCUAACGCGAUUAAGCACUCCGCCUGGGGAGUACGGUCGCAAGACUGAAACUCAAAGGAAUUGACGGGGGCCCGCACAAGCGGUGGAGCAUGUGGUUUAAUUCGAAGCAACGCGAAGAACCUUACCAGGUCUUGACAUCCCACUGACCGCUAUGGAGACAUAGUUUUCCCUUCGGGGACAGUGGUGACAGGUGGUGCAUGGUUGUCGUCAGCUCGUGUCGUGAGAUGUUGGGUUAAGUCCCGCAACGAGCGCAACCCUUGAUCUUAGUUGCCAUCAUUUAGUUGGGCACUCUAAGGUGACUGCCGGUGACAAACCGGAGGAAGGUGGGGAUGACGUCAAAUCAUCAUGCCCCUUAUGACCUGGGCUACACACGUGCUACAAUGGACGGUACAAACGGUUGCCAACCCGCGAGGGGGAGCUAAUCCGAUAAAACCGUUCUCAGUUCGGAUUGUAGGCUGCAACUCGCCUAC
rnacentral:rRNA from 1 species